rnacentral:rRNA from 1 species
GGCGCAGGUGGGAAGGUAAGUCAGAUGUGAAAGCCCGGGGCUCAACCCCGGAACAGCAUCUGAAACUGCUUUUCUAGAGGAUAGGCGGAGAAAACGGAAUUCCACGUGUAGCGGUGAAAUGCGUAGAUAUGUGGAAGAACACCCGUGGCGAAAGCGGUUUUCUAGCUUACUCCUGACACUCAGGCCCGAAAGCAAGGGGAGCGAACAGGAUUAGAUACCCUGGUAGUCC